AACGAACGCUGGCGGCAUGCCUAACACAUGCAAGUCGAACGAGACCUUCGGGUCUAGUGGCGCACGGGUUCGUAACGCGUUGGAACCUGCCCUUAGGUUCGGAAUAACUCCCCGAAUGGGGUGCUAAUACCGGAUAAUGUCUUCGGACCAAAGAUUUAUCGCCUUUGGAUGGGCCCGCGUUUGAUUAGCUUGUUGGUAGUGUAAAAGCAUACCAAGGCGACGAUCCAUAGCUGGUCUGAGAGGAUGAUCAGCCACACUGGGACUGAGAAACGGCCGAGACUACUACGGGAGGGAGCAGUGGGGAAUAUAGGAAAAUGGGCGAAAGCAUGAACAAGCAAGGACGGGAGAGUGAUGAAGGGAUUAGGGUAGUAAAGCUCUUUUAAAAGGGAUGAUAAUGACAGUACCGGGAGAAUAAGCACCGGCUAACUCCGUG
rnacentral:rRNA from 1 species